rnacentral:rRNA from 1 species
GACGAACGCUGGCGGCGUGCUUAACACAUGCAAGUCGAACGGAAAGGCCCUGCUUUUGUGGGGUGCUCGAGUGGCGAACGGGUGAGUAACACGUGAGUAACCUGCCCUUGACUUUGGGAUAACUUCAGGAAACUGGGGCUAAUACCGGAUAGGAGCUCCUGCUGCAUGGUGGGGGUUGGAAAGUUUCGGCGGUUGGGGAUGGACUCGCGGCUUAUCAGCUUGUUGGUGGGGUAGUGGCUUACCAAGGCUUUGACGGGUAGCCGGCCUGAGAGGGUGACCGGCCACAUUGGGACUGAGAUACGGCCCAGACUCCUACGGGAGGCAGCAGUGGGGAAUAUUGCACAAUGGACGGAAGCCUGAUGCAGCAACGCCGCGUGCGGGAUGACGGCUUUCGGGUUGUAAACCGCUUUCGCCUGUGACGAAGCGUGAGUGACGGUAAUGGGUAAAGAAGCACCGGCUAACUACGUG